rnacentral:rRNA from 1 species
GCAACCCCACAUCAGUCAGGAUUACCCGCUGAGUUUAAGCAUAUCAAUAAGCGGAGGAAAAGAAACUUACAAGGAUUCCCUUAGUAACGGCGAACGAAUCGGGAACAACCCAGCCUUAGAAUCGGGCGACUCCGUCGUCCGAAUUGUAGUCUAGAGAGCCGUCAUCAGGGGUGGAAUGGGCCCAAGUCCCCGGGAAGGGGGCGCCGGAGAGGGUGAGAGCCCCGUUGUGCCUAGAUGUUGUUGCACCACGAGGCGCUGACUACGAGUCGGGUUGUUUAGGAAUACAGCCCAAAUCGGGCUGUAAAUUCCGUCCUAGUCUAAAUACAGGCGAGAGACCAAUAGCAAACAAGUACCACGAGGGAAAGAUGAAAAGGACUUUGAAAAGAGAGUCAAAGAGUGUUUGAAAUCGCCGGGAGGGAAGCGGAUGGGGGCCGGUGAUACACCCCGAGAAGGAUGUCGAACAACGAUGAGCCGGUCUGCCGAUCGACUCGUGGGAUGGACCAGCAUCGAUUGGGGGGUGGCUAAAGCUUGGGCUCUCUAUAUGCUCGUGGAACACCAUCUCCUCGAUUGUGGCAGGCAGCGCACACCUCCGGCAUGCUUCGGCAUCUGCGCGCUCCGGACGCUGGCCUGUGGGCUCCCCAUUUGACCCGUCUUAAAACACAGACCAAGGAGUCUGACAUGUGUGCGAGUCAACGGGUGAGUAUACCCGUAUGGCGCAACGAAGCUGAAUGGUGGGAUCCCCUCAAAGGGUGAACCACCGACCGACCUUGAUCUUCUGAGAAGGGUUCGAGUGUGAGCAUACCUAUCGGGACCCGAAAGAUGGUGAACUAUGCCUGAGCGGGAUGAAGCCAGAGGAAACUCAGGUGGAGGCCCACAGCGAUACUGACGUGCAAAUCGUUCGUCUGACUUGGGUAUAGGGGCGAAAGACUAAUCGAACCAUAUAGUAGGACGUUCCCUCCGAAGAUUCCCUCAGGAUAGCUGGAGCUCGCGUGCGAGUUCUAUCAGGUAAAGCUCAUGAUUAGAGGCCUCGGGGGCGCAACACCCUUGACCUAUUCUCAAACUUUAAAUAGGUAGGACGGAGCAACUGCUUGGUUGAGCCGCGCCACAGAAUCAACAGCUCCAAGUGGGCCAUUUUUGGUAAGCAGAAGUGGCGAUGCGGGAUAAUCAACUCUCCAAACUGCGCGCUAACCUAGAUCCCACAAAGGGUGUUGGUCAAUUAAGACAGUAGGACAGUGGUCAUGGAAGUUGAAAUCCGCUAAGGAGUGUGUAACAACUCACCUGCUGAAUAAACUAUCCUCGAAAAUAGAUGGAGCUUAAGUGAACGACCUACAACCGGCCAUCAGGGCAAAUGCCAGGCCCCGAUGAGUAGGAGGGCGGGGAGGUCGCUACAAAACCUUGGGCGCGAUCCUGGGAGAAGCGGUCGUCGGUGCAGAUCUUGGUGGUAGUAAAAAAUAUUCAAAUGAGAACUUUGAAGGCCAAAGAGGGGAAAGGUUCCAUGUUAACGGCACUGUCACAUGGGUUGGUCGAUCCUAAGGGUCGGGGAAACCCCAACAGACAGCGCAUUUCGCGCGUGCUCUGAAAGGGAAUUGGGUUAAAAUUCCUCAAUCGGGACGUGGUGAUCGACGACAAUGUUAGGAAGUCCAGAGACGUCAGCGGGAGCCUCGGGAAGAUUUAUAUUUUCUGUUUAACAGCCUGCCCACCCUGGAAUCGGCUCAGCCGGAGGUAGGGUCCAGCGGCUGGAAGAGCACCGCACGUCGCGUGGUGUCCGAUGCGCUCCCGGCGGCCCUUGAAAAUCCCGAGGACCGAAUGUCGUCCACGCCCCGUCGUACUCAUAACCGCAUCAGGUCUCCAAGGUGAACAACCUCUGGUCGAUGGAACAAUGUAGGUAAGGGAAGUCAGCAAAAUGGAUUCGUAACUUUGGGAGAAGGAUUGGCUCUGAGGGCUGGGUACGGGGGUCCCAGUCCCGUGCCUGUCGGCUGUUGGUGGACUGCUCGAGAUGCUCCCCACACGUUGAACAACCAACUCAGAACUGGUACGGACAAGGGGAAUCCAACUGUUUAAUUAAAACAAAGUAUUGCGAUGGUCCCAACGGAUGUUCACGCAAUGUGAUUUCUUCCUAGUGCUCUGAAUGUCAAACUGAAGAAAUUCAACCAUGCUCAGGUAAACGGCGAGAGUAACUAUGACUCUCUUAAGGUAGCCAAAUGCCCCGUCAUCUAAUUAGUGAUGCACAUGAAUGGAUUAAUGAGAUUCCCACUGUCCCUGUCUACGAUCCAGCGAAACCACAGCCAAGGGAACGGGCUUGGCAGAAUCAGCAAGGAAAGAAGACCCUGUUGAGCUUGACUCUAGUCUGACUUUGUGAAAUGACUUGAGAGUUGUAGUAUAAGUGGGAGUCGAAAGGCAAAAGUGAAAUACCACUACUUUUAACGUUAUUUUACUUAUUCCGUGAAUCGGAAGCGGGGCACUGCCCCUCUUUUUGGACCCAAGGCUCGCUCUGCGGGCCGAUCCGGGUGGAAGACAUUGUCGGGUAGGGAGUUUGGCUAGGGUGGCACAUCUGUUAAAAGAUAAUGCAGGUUUCCUAAGAUGAGCUCAAGGAGAACAGAAAUCUCGUGUGGAAUCGAAGGGUAAAAGCUCAUUUGAUUCUGACUUCCAGUACGAAUAAGAACCGUGAAAGCGUGGCCUAACGAUCCUUUAAACCUUCAGAAUUCGAAGGUAGAGGUGUCAAAAAAGUUACCACAGGGAUAACUGGCUUGUGGCAUCCAAGCGUUCAUAGCGACGUUGCUUUUUGAUCCUUUGAUGUCGGCUCUUCCAAUCUUUGUGAAGCAGAAUUCACCAAGUGUUGGAUUGUUCACCCACCAAUAGGGAACGUGAGCUGGGUUUAGACCAUAGUGAGACAGGUUAGUUUUACCCUACUGAUGAUAGUGUCGCAAAAGUAAUUCAACCUAGUACGAGAGGAACCGUUGAUUCACACAAUUGGUCAUCACGCUUGGUUGAAAAGCCAGUGGCGUGAAGCUACCGUGUACAGGAUUAUGACCAAACGUCUCUAAGUCAGAAUCUGGGCUACAAGCGAUGCAUGUGCCCGCCGUCCGCUUGCCGACCCGUAGUAGGGGCCUCGGGCCCCAAGGGCACGUGUCGUUGGCUAAGCCGCCGUGGCGAAAGGGUCACGGCGGCCGCCUUAAAGUACAAGUGAAGUAU